UGAUAGUUUCAUAUCUUCUUCUCACAUUUUUUCUUGUAUCAGCCUUCUGCAACGACAGAUAAAUCUUGCUCAGCAUCAAGUUAAGAGGGAACAAAAUCAAGGCAUUAACUUGUGGAGUACCCUUCCUAUCAAUUCAACCACUCCCUAUGGGGCAAAAAAAGGCAAACUUCCAGUGACUUGGCCUCAUGUAGCAGGCUUGAAUGAAUCAAUUGACCCAGCACCACUGAAU